rnacentral:rRNA from 1 species
GAUGAACGCUGGCGGCGUGCCUAAUACAUGCAAGUAGAACGCUGAAGCUUGGUGCUUGCACCGAGCGGAUGAGUUGCGAACGGGUGAGUAACGCGUAGGUAACCUGCCUCUUAGCGGGGGAUAACUAUUGGAAACGAUAGCUAAUACCGCAUAAAAGUCGACAUUGCAUGAUGUUGACUUGAAAGGUGCAAUUGCAUCACUAAGAGAUGGACCUGCGUUGUAUUAGCUAGUUGGUGAGGUAACGGCUCACCAAGGCAACGAUACAUAGCCGACCUGAGAGGGUGAUCGGCCACACUGGGACUGAGACACGGCCCAGACUCCUACGGGAGGCAGCAGUAGGGAAUCUUCGGCAAUGGGGGCAACCCUGACCGAGCAACGCCGCGUGAGUGAAGAAGGUUUUCGGAUCGUAAAGCUCUGUUGUAAGAGAAGAACGAGUGUGAGAGUGGAAAGUUCACACUGUGACGGUAACUUACCAGAAAGGGACGGCUAACUACGUGCCAGCAGCCGCGGUAAUACGUAGGUCCCGAGCGUUAUCCGGAUUUAUUGGGCGUAAAGCGAGCGCAGGCGGUUAGAUAAGUCUGAAGUUAAAGGCUGUGGCUUAACCAUAGUACGCUUUGGAAACUGUUUAACUUGAGUGCAGAAGGGGAGAGUGGAAUUCCAUGUGUAGCGGUGAAAUGCGUAGAUAUAUGGAGGAACACCGGUGGCGAAAGCGGCUCUCUGGUCUGUAACUGACGCUGAGGCUCGAAAGCGUGGGGAGCAAACAGG